rfam:Anolis carolinensis chromosome 1, whole genome shotgun sequence.
ACGGAGACAUGGCCUAAAGCCCCCUAGAGACUUUUAAACUUGACUGUCAACUUGAACUAAUUGCAUCUCAUUUU